rnacentral:rRNA from 1 species
UACAGGGGGGGCAAGCGUUGUUCGGAAUUACUGGGCGUAAAGGGUCUGUAGGUGGCCAACUAAGUCAGACGUGAAAUCCCUCAGCUUAACUGGGGAACUGCGUCUGAUACUGGAUGGCUUGAGUGUGGGAGAGGAAUGCGGAAUUCCUGGUGUAGCGGUGAAAUGCGCAGAUAUCAGGUGGAACACCGAUGGCGAAGGCAGCACUCUGGCCGAGUUACUGACGCUGAGGCGCGAAAGCUGGGGGAGCGAACGGG